rnacentral:lncRNA from 1 species
UAUAAACGCAGAGUACAUGGUUACACGGUAAUAGUGGGAUAGAUAUCUUACGAAAUUUACGUGCUUUGACUAAUUCUUGGGAUUUAUGAAUAUUCUCAACUUCAGCAAGUCUACAUGUACGGUAUAAAUAAUGGAGUUUAGCAAAUAAAGAAAACUUUUAUACAAUUUAUGCUAUAAUUGCUAAAUAAAGAAAAUUAAUUAAAGUGAUUUAGUUACAUUUUCUCGCUAUAGAAAUGUUAAAACUCACUCUAUGAUUUAACGAUAAAUCAUAGUUAGUAAUUAUAACUUUUUUUAUAUUCGAUAAGACAUUAACGCUGAGUAGCGAUAUACGUCAAUCCGUUUGAUGGGAAAAUCAGAUGUACGAGAAUUUCAUUCGUACUGUAUAAAAGAAGUUAAUAGAUAUUUGACCUCGUGGUUUUGGCACGGCCAGCAGUAACCACCGUAGCCAUCCGACUCUCCAUUUGCUUCGUGAAAGAGCGUAAAGAGUUGGAAGAUCGACGCCUAUCGAUUUGUAUCGUCAGCGCCUAAUUUACAUUUACUCAGUGCUCUCAGAGAACAAGAAGAUUCAAAUUCUUGAUUAAUGUAAGAUCAAGAAUCUUUACUAAAAUAAAAAAAAAAGUAAUUCAUAAUAUUACGUUGAUUUACCUAGAGUAAUAAGUAAAUACCUUUAAUAUCUAAAUUCUUAGAAAUAAAUCUCUUUAGUGAUUGAAUUAUACGAUUAUACAAAACUUUCACCAAAAAUUUUCUCAUCCCAUGGAUCAUUUAGUUAAGUUCCCCAAAAAUCUAGUUUGGUAGUUCCGGCGUGCAAAUAUUUGUUUCCUAUUCUCUAAGUAAAAUAUAACAGGUUGUGUUGAAUUAGUUAGCAUUAUAUAAAAAAAAUCCAUGUAACACAAAUACAUGUAACUUAUUGUUGUUUGGCGUGGUAAAAUGUAGCAAUGUAACAAAACCGUGUCUACAAGGAUGUAUUUGAGCUUAUACUUAGUGGUUAGUUGUUAGAGAAGGGUUUGACCUGUUGUAUUGGUCUUUCCAGUUCGGGUCUAAUCCCUGGGCUAGCAUUAAACGAAACGUGUCUAAAUUCAGCCAUUGUCAGAAUCAGAUUCAUCGAUCAGUUUGCUGAUGUAAACAGUCGAGACAAUUCUACUUGAACACGAGUAUCGAAUAAAAAAAAAAAAAAGAAAUUUCUAAAGAAAAAGUACAAAAGUUGCAAAAACAAAAAAAAUAUCGCGCUCAUCAUCUCUUUCGGUGCACGCAAACGUUGAAAUCAUCGCAGAGAAAAGUUUUUCACUAAACAAAGCGUGUCUAUUAAAAAGUUUUGCAGCGACAUUUACUACACUGGUUAACUUCCACCUCUGACGAAUGUAAACGCUAAUUAUUCAACUAAACCGGACGAUGUUAACGAGCGGCCAUAAUUUCAGGAAAAUUAGAGAGGGAGAUAGAGUGGCAGGAUUUUUUCUCCGCUGUGAGUAAAAAUUAAAACCGGAGCAAAAUGAGUGGCGACUACGCAGGAAGGAAAAAAAAGAGACGCAUGCAACUUGCUGGCGCAUAUAGUCGCGCAAAGCCUGCCAGUAGGCAGUGUUUUCAGUUGUGCACGGGGGUUGUGCGUUCCGCGGGUUCUCGAUUUUUCCCGUCUCUUUUCCUUGCGCGCGGGAGUGGCUUAGGGCGACCUGCCACGGGGAUGAGCCAGGUCAAGUUCACUCCAACGUUCGAGAACCCUCGGACGGCGAGCAUUUUCCGCCCUGGACUUUCUUUCCCUCUUCUCCUAUUUCCUCUCGCUUUUCCUUUUUCUUUUUCGCCUUUUUUUUUCUAAAAAAUGUCCAAAA